rnacentral:rRNA from 1 species
UACGUAGGGGGCAAGCGUUAUCCGGAUUUACUGGGUGUAAAGGGAGCGUAGACGGAGCAGCAAGUCUGAUGUGAAAACCCGGGGCUCAACCCCAGGACUGCAUUGGAAACUGUUGAUCUGGAGUGCCGGAGAGGUAAGCGGAAUUCCUAGUGUAGCGGUGAAAUGCGUAGAUAUUAGGAGGAACACCAGUGGCGAAGGCGGCUUACUGGACGGUAACUGACGUUGAGGCUCGAAAGCGUGGGGAGCAAACAGG